UCAGCCACAUUGGGACUGAGACACGGCCCAAACUCCUACGGGAGGCAGCAGUGGGGAAUCUUGCACAAUGGAGGAAACUCUGAUGCAGCGAUGCCGCGUGAGUGAAGAAGGCCCUUGGGUUGUAAAGCUCUUUCGUCGGGGAAGAAAAUGACUGUACCCGAAUAAGAAGGUCCGGCUAACUUCGUGCCAGCAGCCGCGGUAAUACGAAGGGACCUAGCGUAGUUCGGAAUUACUGGGCUUAAAGAGUUCGUAGGUGGUUGAAAAAGUUAGUGGUGAAAUCCCAGAGCUUAACUCUGGAACUGCCAUUAAAACUUUUCAGCUAGAGUAUGAUAGAGGAAAGCAGAAUUUCUAGUGUAGAGGUGAAAUUCGUAGAUAUUAGAAAGAAUACCAAUUGCGAAGGCAGCUUUCUGGAUCAUUACUGACACUGAGGAACGAAAGCAUGGGUAGCGAAGAGGAUUAGAUACCCUCGUAGUCCAUGCCGUAAACGAUGUGUGUUAGACGUUGGAAAUUUAUUUUCAGUGUCGCAGGGAAACCGAUAAACACACCGCCUGGGGAGUACGACCGCAAGGUUAAAACUCAAAUGAAUUGACGGGGACCCGCACAAGUAGUGGAGCAUGUGGUUUAAUUCGAAGAUACGCGCAGAACCUUACCAACACUUGACAUGUUCGUCGCGACUCUAAGAGAUUAGAGUUUUCGGUUCGGCCGGACGAAACACAGGUGCUGCAUGGCUGUCGUCAGCUCGUGUCGUGAGAUGUUGGGUUAAGUCCCGCAACGAGCGCAACUCUCACUUUUAGUUGCCAUCAUUAAGUUGGGCACUCUGAAAGAACUGCCAGUGAUAAGCUGG
rnacentral:rRNA from 1 species